UGNUCUGUAACUGACGCUGAGGCUNGAAAGCGUGGGUAGCAAACAGGAUUAGAUACCCUGGUAGUNCACGCCGUAAACGAUGAGUGCUAAGUGUUGGAGGGUUUCCGCCCUUCAGUGCUGCAGUUAACGCAUUAAGCACUCCGCCUGGGGAGUACGACCGCAAGGUUGAAACUCAAGGGAAUUGACGGGGACCCGCACAAGCGGUGGAGCAUGUGGUUUAAUUCGAAGCAACGCGAAGAACCUUACCAAGUCUUGACAUCCUUUGACCACUCUAGAGAUAGAGCUUUCCCUUCGGGGACAAAGUGACAGGUGGUGCAUGGUUGUCGUCAGCUCGUGUCGUGAGAUGUUGGGUUAAGUCCCGCAACGAGCGCAACCCUUAUUACUAGUUGCCAGCAUUCAGUUGGGCACUCUAGUGAGACUGCCGGUGACAAACCGGAGGAAGGUGGGGAUGACGUCAAAUCAUCAUGCCCCUUAUGACUUGGGCUACACACGUGCUACAAUGGAUGGUACAACGAGCAGCAAACUCUCGAGGGUAAGCGAAUCUCUUAAAGCCAUUCUCAGUUCGGAUUGUAGGCUGCAACUCGCCUACAUGAAGCCGGAAUCGCUAGUAAUCGCGGAUCAGCACGCCGCGGUGAAUACGUUCCCGGGUCUUGUACACACCGCCCGUCACACCACGAGAGUUUGUAACACCCAAAGUCGGUGAGGUAACCAUUNGGAGCCAGCCGC
rnacentral:rRNA from 1 species